rnacentral:rRNA from 1 species
AGCAGCCGCGGUAAUUCCAGCUCCAAUAGCGUAUAUUAAAGUUGUUGCAGUUAAAAAGCUCGUAGUUGAAUUUCGGGGUUAGUAGGUUGGUCGUGCCACUGGUACGUACUGGUCUCACUGAUUCCUCCUUCCUGAUGAACUGUAAUGCCAUUAAUUUGGUGUUGCAGGGAAACUGGACUGUUACUUUGAAAAAAUUUAGAGUGUUUAAAGCAAGCUAACGCUUGAAUACAUUAGCAUGGAAUAAUGAAAUAGGACGUUCGAUCCUAUUUUGUUGGUUUCUAGGAUUGACGUAAUGAUUAAUAGGGAUAGUUGGGGGCAUUAGUAUUCAAUUGUCAGAGGUGAAAUUCUUGGAUUUAUUGAAGACUAACUACUGCGAAAGCAUUUGCCAAGGAUGUUUUCAUUAAUCAAGAACGAAAGUUAGGGGAUCGAAGACGACCAGAUACCGUCGUAGUCUUAACCAUAAACUAUGCCGACUAGGGAUCGGAUGAUGUUAAUUUUUUUAAUGACUCAUUCGGCGCCU